rnacentral:rRNA from 1 species
CAGCUACACGGCGACGUGAGGCUAAUCCCUAAAUCCUCUCUCAGUUCGGAUUGGAGUCUGCAACCCGACUCCAUGAAGCUGGAUUCGCUAGUAAUCGCGCAUCAGCCACGGCGCGGUGAAUACGUUCCCGGGCCUUGUACACACCCGCCCGUCAAGCCAUGAAAGCCGGGGGUACCUGAAGUGCGUAACCGCGAGGAGCGCCCUAGGGUAAAACUGGUGAUUGGGGCUAAGUCGUAACAAGGUAAC